CAAACCGUAGCCUGGGGCCCAGCCUGGACUCCCCACUGAGGUUCUGGCCUACGGGAGAUCAAAGACCCACUGAGAACAAUACCAUUCCAGGCUGUUUUUAUCUUCCUGUGGUUCUCAUCAUACUUCCUGUGGAAAGUGGAGGCUGUCUGCAGCAUGUGCACAGCUGUUUGGAAGACCUCCAUAUUGAAGACUGACUCCAGGUUUACUGGGCUGGCCCAUCGUAAAUUGGACUGGAUAUCUUCUUUCUCGACUCUGCCAGACUCGAAGUGGACUACAGGGUGACCUUACCAG